rnacentral:lncRNA from 1 species
GAGGACAAUAGUCUCCUUACCAGCUGGUUUGUGAUGAGGAGUCAUGAAAAGAUGAGUGUGGACAACGGUGGGAACAGGAGGAAAACAAAGCCCAGAGACACCAGUGGGAGAGACCGUGUCAGGGAGAGCAAGGAUGCUGUGUGAGCUGCAUGUGAGUUUUGUGAGUUAUGAGUCACAGGUGGCUCCAACCCUGCUUUCUGUCCUUCAGUCUCCCAUUCAGCACCCAACAGAAGAUGCUAGGCACCACUCUGCAUCCUCAAGGGAUAUCGUAUGAAGCAAGAGGCAGGUUUUCUUGGGUCCACAGCAACAUCAAAAAAGAGCAAAACGGACAUGCAAAUAAAUCUAUUUUAGCAUUUGAGACAGACGUCCAACUGAGGAACAUGAUCAGAAGAUGCCAGCCAGUAUAAACAUAUUUUGAAAAUAUGUAUUUCAUUUCUUAUAUAUGUACAUUUGUUCUCGUCGAAAAUAAAGAUCAAAUCAAAUUUCAGAGAGA